GAGCGGGUGAGACCCCGUGGGCCUCAAACCCUGAUCUGCUUCUAGUCGGCGAAUAACUGGAAUUAACGGAGCAGGUAUAGUGUGCACGUGAGAUACUCAGGACCUUUCCACCCGCCCCACCCGACGGCGGGGACAGUCACACAGUCACGUGCCGGGUGGGUCCCAGGGGGUCGCACUUCGCUGGAGCUGGUCCCGAGCCGCUGGCAGUGAAGUGAUGGGGAAAGCGCGGGACCGGAAGGAGGGACGCGGGGCUCCAGGACUUCAGCACUUUCAGGCUAAUACUGGAUGCACACGAAAUCACAUGUUGGGCAAAUAUGUGGGUGGAUCAAUCAGUAUCAGAUGAUAUCUGGGCUUAAGGAAAAUAACUUUCAAGUCAUACUUGCUUAAAAGAGAUCUACUUAGUCAAAAGGCUACAUUGCUUAAACAGUGAGAAAAAUCCAUGAAUAGAUAGAUUUCAUAAUGACAAAAAAAAAAAAGAAGAAGAAAAGAAGGAAUCAUGAGUCACCCGCGGAGGAUGCCAGGGAACUGUGAAAUCAUAAGAAAUAUGUCUUUGGUGUCUACACUGGCUUCCUGGCACAGAGCUCCUCAAACACUUGGAAUUUCUUGAGUGAUCGGGAAUGAACGAGAGUUUAGAAGACCAAAUAUUUCAAACCAACCAGUGAAGCCCUUUGGUGCAGUUUUGACCCCAAAGCAGCCAGACUGUCUCCUGGUCUCCCAGGGCCAUACGCCACGGGGUCACUUUACAAAUUAAGGUGAAGUCCAAGUGGAGGUGGAAAGGCAAGGUGUGAGGUCCUUCGACGGCAUCCCUGGCGCAGCGGUGAGGCUGCAUAAGGAUCACGGGAGUGGAGACACACAGAACGGAGCCAGUAUUCAGUUCAGGAAUCACAGGAUUUAGUGCACAUGAUGAGCACACAGCACAGCUUAGUAAGAGGAGGGAAAACAGAGAAGGGGUACCGACCUCGCCAAGGAGAAGUCCGGAAGGAGGCGGCUCAGCACCAGCAGGGUCCCUGGUUGGUGAUGGUUUCAGGACACCUGUGAGCGGGACUCGCCCUCGGCUGGGACAGGGCCUCGGGCAGCGCCUGGAUGUUCAGCAGUGUCAGGUCGGGUCCUCCAGCCGAGAGCCUUUGGUGUCUGACUCUGGGGGGUCUGCCUAGAGGUGGGCAGGUGCCGCCCCAGGGCCUCUCGUCUCCAGCAGUUACUCUGUGCCAGCAAAGGUUUCCAUGACGUUACAAGGCAAGUCCUUAAAUUCAUUCUGUAAGUCUGUUCCUGUGUUGUAAAUAAGUUCAUUUGUAGCAUUUUUCUUUUUAGAUUCCGCAUAUCGAUAUCAUAUAUUUGUCUUACACAACACUGUUAAUCACCUAUGCUUCA